rnacentral:tRNA from 1 species
GCCUGGAUGGCUCAGUCGGUUGAGCGUUCGACUUCGGCUCAGGUCACGAUCUCGCAGUUUGUGGGUUCGAGCCCCACAUUGGGCU